CAGGAUUUCCAGCUUCCACUGUGAUCCCUGUGUCUGUAAUUCUGCUGCUGCUUGUGAUUGGAGUCAUAUUCCUUGCUUUACAAAUAAAAUUCACUUCUAUGUCCAGGUGUUCCAACCAAGACCAGGAGGUCUCUGUUGCUGUGUGUGACUGUGAGGAGGAGAAAUCUGCUGAAGGUCUAAUUUACACAGUGGUUAUUUACAGCAGUGUCUCCAGCUUUAAUGAGGCAGUUCCACACAUUGAGGACGAGGUCUUGUGUGACUUCAGUCAGUUACACUGAUUUAUGUGGAUAGAUUACUGAACUGAGAUUAGAGACAAAUAACCUGUACAUUGGAUCUCUACUGAUUUAUUGAGACUUUUCUUCCUUUGUUAUGUGUAAAAACACCAGAUUUUCUAAAAAUUCACAAUAAAUAUACAUUUGUCAAGUUGUGGAAGUCAUGUAGUAUGUUAUACAACCUUUAUUAUACAGUACUCUUCCACAUCCAUA